UACGUAGGGUGCUAGAGUUGUCCGGAUUUACUGGGUGUAAAGGGUGCUCAGGUGGAUUUGUAAGUCAGAGGUGAAAUCCCAAAGCUUAACUUUGGUGCUGCCUUUGAUACUGCAAGUCUAGAGUUUGAGAGAGGGCAAUGGAAUAUCUGGUGUAGCAGUGAAAUGCGUAGAUAUCAGGAGGAACAUCGAUGGCGAAGGCAGCCCCUUGGACCUGUACUGACGCUCAUGCACGAAAGCGUGGGGAGCAAACAGG
rnacentral:rRNA from 1 species